GCACGUGCAAUCCCGUGGGAAGAUGGGGGGACCACCCUCCAACCCUAAAUACUACCCAGUGACCGAUAGCGUAAAGUACUGUGAAGGAACGGUGAAAAGAACCCCGGGAGGGGAGUGAAAAGAACCUGAAACUCUGUGCUUACAAGCACAUAGAGCACGUCAAUGUGUGAUAUGGUACCUUUUGUAGAAUGGUCCGGCGAGUUAUGGUAUGCAGCGUGGUUAAGGACUUCAGGUCUGAAGCCGAAGCGAGAGCGAGUCUGACAAGGGCGAAAAGUUGUAUGCCAUAGACCCGAAACCGGGUGACCUAGCCAUGUCCAGGCUGAAGUGGAGGUAAAACUCCAUGGAGGGCCGAACCGACCUCCGUUGAAAAGGCGGCGGAUGAGAUGUGGCUAGCGGAGAAAUUCCAAUCGAACCCGGAUAUAGCUGGUUCUCCCCGAAAUAGCUUUAGGGCUAGCGUUGUAUUAGAUUACCGGAGGUAAAGCACUGAAUGGGCUAGGGGCUGAGAAGUUACUGAACCCUAUCAAACUAAGAAUGCCGGAUAAUUGAUGUACAGCAGUCAGACUAUGUGAGAUAAGUCUCAUAGUCAAAAGGGAAACAGCCCAGACCCACAGCUAAGGUCCCAAAAUGGAUUUAAGUGGAAAAGGAUGUGGAAUUGCACAGACAACCAGGAUGUUGGCUUAGAAGCAGCCACUCAUUAAAAGAGUGCGUAAUAGCUCACUGGUCGAGUGACUCUGCGCGGAAAAUAUAACGGGGCUAAGCAUGAAACCGAAGCUUGGGCUUGUACUUAGGUACAGGGGUAGGGGAGCGUCGAGUAUGGGGUGAAGUCAGAGCGAAAGCACUGGUGGACUGUACUGGAGUGAGAAUGCCGGAAUGAGUAGCGAGAAUUAUGUGGGAAUCAUAAUGGCCGAAAAUCUAAGGUUUCUUGGGGAAGGUUCGUCCGCCCAAGGUAAGUCGGGAGCUAAGCUCAGGCCGAGAGGCGUAGGCGAUGCACAUACGGUAGAAAUUCCGUAACCACCGAAACUUAAACAGAGGGACACUUCAGGAUAGCGGAACCCGGGCGUUGGUUGACCCGGGCGAAAGGGAGCGAAAAUAGAGUAGCGAAGUCCGCGAUGCCUGGAGGCGAGAAAAGCUCUGAGGUAUGCUAAGGUGCCCGUACCGCAAACCGACACAGGUAGAUGAGGAGAGAAUCCUAAGGCCAACGGGAGAAGGGUUGUUAAGGAACUCGGCAAAUUGGCCCCGUAACUUCGGGAGAAGGGACGCCCUCGAAAGAGGGUCGCAGUGAAUAGGCCCAAGCAACUGUUUACCAAAAACACAGGUCUCUGCUAAAUCGAAAGAUGACGUAUAGGGGCUGACGCCUGCCCGGUGCCGGAAGGUUAAGAGGAGGGCUUAGUGGCAACACGAAGGCUUGAAUUUAAGCCCCGGUAAACGGCGGCCGUAACUAUAACGGUCCUAAGGUAGCGAAAUUCCUUGUCAGGUAAG
rnacentral:rRNA from 1 species